AUGGGCUCGCUUCUGAUGCCGCUGCUUGGCAGCGUGGCCGCUAAGGCCGGCGACGCGCUGGUGACCGAGCUGCUGCGGGCGUGGGGGCUGGAUAAGUCCCGCCGGAAGCUGGAGCGCCACCUCGCCGCCGUCCAGUGCAUCCUGCUCGACGCCGACGCCAAGAGCCGCACCAACCCCGCCGUCCGCCGCUGGAUGGUGGACCUCAAGACCGCCGCCUACCAGGCCGACGACGUCCUCGAUGACUUCCUCUACGAGGCGCUGCGCCGCCGUGCCGCCCAGAUCCGCCGACGACGCCGCCGCCGCCGUGCCACCGCACGCAAGGUGCUGAGCUACUUCACCACCAAUAGCCCGGUUGUUUUCCGCCUUUCAAUAAGCAGGAAGAUGAAGGAUGCCCUAGAGAUGAUUGAUGAACUGGUUGUAGAGAUGAACAAUUUCCACUUCCUGCAACAUACCGAAGCACCAUACGUUGAUCAUCCGCAAACACACUCUCAAGUCAAUGAAUCAGAGAUUGUGGGCAGACAAGACGAGAAGGAACAAGUGGUGAAGAUGUUGCUCGACCACUCCAACCACAAUAAUGGUAAUGACAAUGUCAUGGUGCUCCCCAUAAUUGGCAUGGGGGGAAUUGGUAAGACCACACUUGCUCAACUUGUGCUCAAUGACCACAGAAUGGUGCAUCAUUUUGAGUUAGUCUUAUGGGUCUGUGUCUCUGACAAGUUCAUUAUCAUGGAAAUAAUUCGAUCUAUAAUACAAGUGGCCACGCUGAAUAAGUGUGAUUUGACCGAGAUGGAGGCACUGCGGAAGGAACUUGGUCAAGUGUUGGGCAAGAAAAGAUACCUCUUAGUGCUGGAUGAUGUUUGGAAUGAAGAUGGACAGAAGUGGGAUGCUAUGAGAUCAUUGUUAUGCUCACAUGCUGGCUCAGGUAGUGCUAUAAUUGUGACAAGCCGCAGCGACAAAGUUGCAUCUAUCAUGGGCACACUUCCUCCACAUCAGAUAUCGCUUCUAAGUGAUGAUCAAUCAUGGGAGUUCUUUGACAGAAACACAUCUGGAAGAGAAGUAGAAAGGCAAGAGGAAUUUAUUUCAGUCGCAAAGAACAUUGUUGACAAGUGUAAAGGAUUGCCUCUUGCUAUCAAGACCAUAGCCGCUUUACUUCCUUCGAAGAAUCACAAUCAGUGGUUUUCUGUUCUGGAUAGCGAUGUAUGGAAAGAUGACAUUCUCACAACUACUGGGAUUGUACCUGCACUACGACUGAGCUAUGAUCAUUUGUCAUCAGAGGAAAAAAUAUGCUUUUCCUUUUGUUCUAUUUUCCCCAAGGAUAGCCCAAUGGAUAAAGACAUGUUAAUCCAGCUAUGGAUGGCAAAUGACUUUAUUGCAUCAGAAGUAAGAGGCCAGCAAAUUUUUGAUGUGCUAGUUUGGAGAUGUUUCCUACAAGAUGUCAAGAUUCAAAAGAAUCCUAUGGGCAGAUUUAAAGAUGAGUUCUUCCGUGGACCUGCUUGCAAGGUGCAUGAUCUCAUGCAUGACCUCGCUAACUUCGUAAGCGGAAAUGAUUGCUCCAUUCUGCAAGAAUCUUCAUCAUGUCAAGAAAUUAUGCAAGGAUCCACAAACACCUGUUCGUUACAGCAUGAGGUUCGACAUUUGUCACUUGAUUAUGUGAGUAACAAUACUAUUGCAGCCAUGAAGAAAAUUUUAGCUCCCCGAGCCCGCACAAUAUUAGUCCGAAGGGAGUUGGAGUGGACUAAGACUUCUCUGGAUAUGGGCAAGUCUCUGAGUAUGACCAUGUCAAAAUUCAUGUCCUUGCGAGCAUUGAAGAUAUCGUCAAUCUUAACACAUAUGACAAACUUGAAGCAUCUUCGGUAUCUAGAUUGUUCUAAUUCUGAUAUAUCUGCACUGCCUGAAGGCAUUACCAUGUUUUAUAGCUUGCAAGCAUUGAAGCUCACGGGUUGUCGCAAACUUGAGAAAUUACCAGAAGGCAUACGAUAUAUGCUCAGCCUUCGGCAUAUCUUCCUUAAUGGGUGUCAUAGUUUGGAGUGCAUGCCACAUGGUAUUGGUCAGCUGAAUUCUUUACAGACAUUGACGGAUUAUGUCAUUGAUAGUGAUGUGGGCCGUGGAAUUGAUCAACUGAAAGAUUUGAAUCUAGUUGGUGGUCUUUCUUUGACUAAGCUGAGGAAAGUGCAUAGUGCAGAAAAUGCUCAACAAGGCAAUAUGUCUGCUAAGCAUGAUUUGAAAAGAUUGUCACUCGAUUGGGGGGAAAAUAUAUAUACAUGGCGUGAAGUUGAAGUGGAUACUAAUGCAGAAGGAAUAUUAGAGGCCCUUCGUCCGCACAAAAGGCUUGAAGUUUUAGUGUUAUCUAAGUAUAUGGGUGCUAAAUUGCCAUCAUGGAUGCAAAACUCUACACAGUUAGAACAUAUCAGUGAACUUUAUCUGAAAAACUGCAUGAAGUGCAAGGAUCUUCCAUCAUUAUGGCAGCUUCCCUCUCUCUGGUACUUGUGUUUGGAUAGUUUGGAUAGCUUGACCAGUAUAUGUGUUGGUAAUGAUGAUAACGACAGUGGGGAAUCCUGUAUUUCUCCACCACCCUUCUUUCCUAAAUUGAAAACCAUGGACCUUUUCGACAUGCCUAAGCUAGAGAGAUGGCACCGGGAAGUGGCAGGACAAGUAGCAGUUGUAUCAUUCCCUCAGCUCAAGAAGCUAAAAAUUUCCAGAUGCCCGCAUGCCCAAUAUGCUCCCUUUGCUUGA
rnacentral:rRNA from 1 species